UACAGAGGUGGCAAGCGUUGUUCGGAAUUACUGGGCGUAAAGGGCGCGUAGGCGGUCUUCUAAGUCUUGUGUGAAAUCCCUCGGCUCAACUGAGGAACUGCACGGGAUACUGGAAGACUUGAGUUCGGGAGAGGGAAGCGGAAUUCCGGGUGUAGCGGUGAAAUGCGUAGAUAUCCGGAGGAACACCGGUGGCGAAGGCGGCUUCCUGGACCGAUUACUGACGCUGAGGCGCGAAAGCCAGGGGAGCAAACGGG
rnacentral:rRNA from 1 species